rnacentral:lncRNA from 1 species
UUCCUGCCGGGGCGUUUCCGGAAUAACAGUGGCUCUGCGAGUCCAAGAAAAGUUAAAGGCUCACGUUGAAUAUAAAUCUCUGGGAUUCCUGCUGAUAGUCCAGUGGUUAAUUUUACUGCGUCGAUAUCCAAGCCAACUAUUGUUAUGAUAAUCCCCUAUGUCUUAGAGCUUGAAACAGGGUGGAGAAACAAGCUCCAAGAGGUCUCAGGCAGUGACGCUCUGCACCACGACAGGAUGGACCAGUUCAUGAGGGGAAGAUUGAUGUGAGGUGGAGACGUGAAGCCAGCAGGCACAAACUGGAAGCUGUGUGGAUGGAUGUACUAGAACCCCUGCUUGCUGCCUUGGCCUCUCGUGCUUCCAGUCCUCCAACUUCGAUGAUGAAGCUGACCUAGAGAAGAGCUGGUGCACUUUGCUGUGGAGUUUCAUCCAAACCUAAUAAGCAUUCAGAGAAGCUGAAGAAGCAGUUGAAGCUGGAGGCUGAGCUGCAGCCCUGCAAUGUCAGAAGGCAACUGAUUUCUGCAGAUCAAUAUGCGGUCAUGAAAGAACACCUCAUCCUCCGCGCCCUGGGCACAGAUUACACCAAGAAUUCUGGGCCAUGCACACACACAGAGCUGUAAUCUGAUGGAGCUGUGGCUGGAAUGACCGUGAGGAAGGUCCAGGAGACAGAGCUCACCUCCAGCCUCAUGGUCCUGGUGCGCAGGUCAGGAGCAUUCAUUCACACCGAAUGCAGGUGGGAUCUCCAUAUCGGCGUUGUUCAGAGCCCACCCUGGCCUCCAGAAAGCUUCUCAUUUCCUCGCUGCUCCCAGAGAGGAAAGAAGGACUCUUCCAUCCACUCUCUCUAUCCAAGGAGCUUCUUAGAGGUAAGAGAUGCAGUCCGAUAGUAUAUGAACUUCUGCUGGUUUUGCCCAUGUUAGGUGAAAUCUGAUGGAACAAAAAAGCCAUGCCAAGAACCGGAGAAGAACAUUCUAGGAAAGGAGAACAGGAACUAGAAAGCCCUGAGGAGAUAAUGAGCAGGGUAAGUUUUAGAAACAGGAAGGAGACCAGUGGGACGAAAACGAAUUGCAGCAAACUUUUCUUGCAAAGGGCCAGCUAGUAAGUAUUUUUAGGCUUUGAGGGUCAUUCGGUCUUGGCAACCAUCUGCUGUUUUAGCCCCUAAAAUCUUCUUGGACAUAUAUUCACACAGAUGAGCAUGGCUGUGUUCCAAUAAAACUUUAUUUAUAAACACUGAUAUUUGAAUUAUAUAUCAUUUUCACAUGUCACAAAAUAGUGUUCUUCUUUUGUUUCCAACUGUUUAAAAAUGUAAAAGCCAUUUUCAGCUCAGGGGCUGUGGAAGAACAGGCAGAGGGCCAGAUUUUGCCUGUGGGGCUGUGGUUUGCUGACCAUGGGGUAACACAUGGCGAGUGAGUGGGGGGAAAAGUAGACCCAGUUAGGGUGGGAGAGUGUGAAGUGGGCUCAGGCCAGACCCCGCACAGGGUUUUGUAGGCCAUGGAAGCAAGUACGGAUUUUAUUCUAAUUGCUGUGGGAAACACCCAAGGGGCUUUAGGCAGGAGUGUGACGUGAUCUAUUUUAAUAAUACUCUGGUACAUCUGAGUCCACAGUCGACUGUCAGGAGACAAAAGCAGAAGCAGAGGUACCAGUAAGGACCCUGCUCCAGCAGACCAGGCAGAGAUGACAGACACUGAAAUGGGAAUUAUGAGACCGACAUGCUACCUACUGCACUAACGAGGUUAGAUUCCCAAUUUCAAAGGGAGUGAGCCAUCAGGGUUAUAGGGUAUUUAAGGAGAGUGCCUGGUACAUAGUAUGUACUCAGUAUAUGCUCCUUCCCUACACUAUACUUCCCUCUUUGGUGAUAAAAAGAAUGCUAAAAUUGGUUUGGUCCCAAUCUCUCACUGCUCUCAGGAAAAUCACUCAUUCUACUAAAAAAAGGUCAGCCAACAUCAUCAAAAGUCAGUGGACACAUGCUUCAGUUUUGUUAAUGACUCCGAUGGGAUACAUGUGUGUGUAUGUAUAUUCAUAUUUUUGUUGAGCCUCAUGAAAUAGCUAAAAUUUUUCUACAGACUAAGGUUUAUCAGGAUCACUGGCUUCAGGUUUCCACUGUGGUGCAAUGGCUUAAGUAUCGGAAUGCAGUGGCUUGGAUCGCUGCAGAGGCACAGGUUCAAUCCCUAGCCUGGUACAGUGGGGUUAAAGGAUUCACGUGUUGCCGCAGCUGCAGCACAGUUCACAGCUGUGGCUUGGAUUCAA